rnacentral:rRNA from 1 species
UACGUAGGGUGCAAGCGUUGUCCGGAAUUAUUGGGCGUAAAGAGCUCGUAGGCGGUCUGUCGCGUCGGAUGUGAAAAUCCAGGGCUCAACCCUGGACCUGCAUUCGAUACGGGCAGACUAGAGUUCGGCAGGGGAGACUGGAAUUCCUGGUGUAGCGGUGAAAUGCGCAGAUAUCAGGAGGAACACCGGUGGCGAAGGCGGUUCUCUGGGCAUGACCUGACGCUGAGGAGCGAAAGUGUGGGGAGCGAACAGG